rnacentral:sRNA from 1 species
UUUGAGACAGAGUCUUGCUCUGUCGCCCAGUCUGGAGUGCAUUGGCAUGAUGUUGGCUCACUGCAGCCUCUGCCCCGGGGGUUCAAGCAAUUCUCCUGCUUCAGCCUCCCCAGUAGCUGGGAUUAUAACCUUGCGCCACCACCCCUAGCUAAUUUUUUUUUUUUUGUAUUUUAGUAGAGACAGAGUUCACCAUGUUGGCCAGGCUGGUCUCGAACUCCUCACCUCAAGUGAUCCACCCACCUUGGCCUCCCAGAGUGUUGGGAUUACAGGCGUGAGCCCCAGUGCCUUACCAGAAUGGAAAUAUUUAAGUAAACAAAAUAUUUCUAAGUGUAAACUAAUGGCCUACUUAUUUUAUUUAGCAAUUUCAGUUCAGGUCCUAGGAGUUUAAUAUUUCAUCUAUAUUUUAAUUCACCACAGAUAUUAGGCUUUCUCAAAGGUAACAUUUUGUCCUAAUUUUAGUUUCUCAAAUCGUAUUAAGGUUAUGAUGGCUACCCAGCUUGUGAAGUAAUAGAUGAUAAUAAUAUAGUCAGGAAAUAUCAUUUGGUAACCAAGGCUUCAGCAAAGUAUUAAGAUUUUUGUGUUCGUGAGUGUUAUAGGUAACACUGUUGGCCCCCAACAUUGUCAUUUUGUACACUUUGUUGAUCAAUGGCCUGAAUUCAUUAAAAUUCACACUACAUGCUUCAAAAAGAAUAUUGGAUCCCAGCCUAGGUUGUUGAGUAUAUUCCUGUCCUUUAUUAAAAUGUAGGUUGAUAGAAAGGUGGUAGGGAUAUUUAAAUCUAUCAUGCUAAUUUACUUUCUUUGUAUCACAGCAAGGAUAGGGAAUUAGGAAAGCAUUACUCACUCAAUAGAGAAAAGGUAGAUAGAAAAUCCAGUGUUAUCUUGACAAAGCAGUGAAUGUUUUAGUAUGAUUGAGGAUAGGUAAUCUAGUGCUAAAGUUGGUCAGAGAAUUUCCUGCACAAAAUGAAAGAUCUGUGUAUGGGAAUGCUAGAGAAUUUGACUUCUCAGAAAUAUAUAGACCAACAGUGGUUGCCUUUUUUCAUUUUCACUUCUCUUCAUUCUUAGAUCUACGGAAUCCAGAGGCAGCAUUGUCUCCAACCUUCCGUAGUGACAGCCCAGUGCCUACUGCACCCACCUCUGGUGGCCCUAAGCCCAGCACAGCUUCAGCAGUUCCUGAAUUAGCUACAGAUCCUGAGUUAGAGAAGAAGUUGCUACACCACCUCUCUGAUCUGGCCUUAACAUUGCCCACUGAUGCUGUGUCCAUCUGUCUUGCCAUCUCCACGCCAGAUGCUCCUGCCACUCAAGAUGGGGUAGAAAGCCUCCUGCAGAAAUUUGCAGCUCAGGAGUUGAUUGAGGUCAAGCGAGGUCUCCUACAAGAUGAUGCACAUCCUACUCUUGUGACCUAUGCUGACCAUUCCAAGCUCUCUGCCAUGAUGGGUGCUGUGGCAGAAAAGAAGGGCCCUGGGGAGGUAGCAGGGACUGUCACAGGGCAGAAGCGGCGUGCAGAACAGGACUUAACUACAGUAGCUGCCUUUGCCAGUUCGUUAGUCUCCGGUCUGAACUCUUCAGCAUCGGAACCAGCAAAGGAGCCAGCCAAGAAAUCAAGGAAACAUGCUGCCUCAGAUGUUGAUCUGGAGAUAGAGAGCCUUCUGAACCAACAGUCCACUAAGGAACAACAGAGCAAGAAGGGCCAUGGAGUUGGGGAGAGAAUGUCUAAACCUCUGGGGGUAUGAACGGGUAGAUGAAAUUAUUUGGGUGAAGACAAAUCAACUGCAACGCAUCAUUCGGACAGGCCGUACAGGUCACUGGUUGAACCAUGGGAAGGAACACUGCUUGGUGAGCAGCAGUGGGGCCCAAUUCAAUAGGUGGAGCACAAAGAAGAAUCAUUUGAUUUCUUAUUGAGAAAAAGUUCAAAAGGUGUGGUUUCAUAAGGUAAUCUGUUAUCUGUGGUGAGCAGGUUGGUGUCAAAGGAAAUCCCCAAGGCUUCAACCAGGGUCUGGAUUGUGAUGUGAUCGUAGCUGAGGUAUGUGCUUCCCAGGCCUCCAAAGCUUCCACAUUUUUUUGUUGGUAUCAGUUAUUCAUGUUGGGUGUAUUCUCAUCCCAGAUUUUUCUCAUUUAGAUCAUAAACAUAAUAGAAAGGGUUAGAAUUGCAAUCUUGUGUAACUUAAAAAGCAGCUAGUUUCUAUUUCCUAGGUUCGUUCCACCAGUCAUAAACCAGAUGAAAUCUAUGGCAUGAUUGAAAGACUGUCUCCUGGCACUCGCAAGAUUGAGUUAUUUGGACGACCGCACAAUGUGCAACCCAACUGGAUCACCCUUGGAAACCAACUGGAUGGGAUCCACCUACUAGACCCAGAUGUGGUUGCACGGUUCAAGCAAAGGUACCCAGAUGGUAUCAUCUCUAAACCUAAGAAUUUAUAGAAGCACUUCCUUACAGAGCUAAGAAUCCAUAGCCAUGGCUCUGUAAGCUAAACCUGAAGAGUGAUAUUUGUACAGUAGCUUUCUUCUUUAUUUAAAUAAACAUUUGUAUUGU